rnacentral:lncRNA from 1 species
AAUUCAUAAAAGAGAUGGAAGUUUACUUGAAAGUGGCAAAAUAAAAUCCAAACACAAAAUCUACAAUGGUAUUGAGAGUUUUUUGGAGAGUUUAGCAUCUCUAUUUUCUAGCUCUAAUGUCGGAAAAGUAAUUCUUCAAGUAACUCCUUAAACUACUUCUCCCUUUGCCCUCCCUAUUAUCCUUGGAAUAAAUAAGCAAAAACAAAAUGACAAUAUAUGUCUAUUUAUGCUUGUUAGCUAUGUUUGUUCUUUUGAGGAAAAUGUUACUCUCGAUCUGUAAAAGGAGGUAUAAGGAUGGUUGUUUAUAUAUUUAUGUCAAUUUGCGUUGACUAACAAAAAAAAAACAGAUUGGCGGUUGUGACAUAUGUUAUAAUCUCUCUUUAGAAUGCUCUAAAUGGUGUGCAUAAAAGAAAUAGCAUUGACUAAAGACACAGACGACGAGUUUGCUUUAAUAAAGUGGCUCGGGACAAGAUAUUGGGGCAAAGGUAUGAAGGUACUGCAAUGCAGCCUAGUCUGGUCUGACGAGGAUUGGGACCGUGAAAAAUGCAGCAAAGGUGAAAGACUUUCACCAAUUUCUUGAGUGAGAGGUUAGAUCCAAAACCCGUACUCUAGUGUUUUGUUAUUUACCUUUUGUCUAAUAAUAAAAGAUUCAUACUUUAAAUCCAGAUUCUUCACUCACUAGUUUCCAAUGAUAUAUAAUAUGAAAAUAAACAUGACAUUGACAUAAUCAGACGGUAACAACAACAGAUAAGUUUAACAGUCUGAACUGAAAUUAAGACCUUUGGCUCCUUCCUAUGUAGUCCAAUCAGUUGGAAAUAGUGGCAAAUUCUAUUGGAUUAACACGCGUAACAAUAAAGUUGGAGCAACGGUAAAGUUGUCUCAAUGUAACUUAUAGGUCACGGGCUCAAGUCUUGGAAUCAGCCACUGAUGUUUGUAUCAGGGUAGCUAGGCUGCCUACAUCACACUCCUCGGAGUGCAGCCCUUCCUCGGACCCCAUGCGAACACAAAAUGCUUUAUGCACCAGACUGUCCUUUUUUACACGCAUAACAGGAUAACAAACCAAAGGAUAAACCAUGGCAGCAGAAAAUCCAGCUCCUUGUUCCAUAUUAAGUGUUUCUGCAUCUUUAAUUUUCCAAUCAAAACAUUGGAUCAUUGCACCAAGUGUCCUAUGCAACACUGCUGCUGCAAGUCCAGCACCAGGGCAUCCUCUCCUUCCUCCACCAAAUGGCACAUAACAGAAGUUCUGGCCAUCUUUAAUGGCCUCCAAUUCAUCAGGCUCGAUCGCGAGGUUCUCGUUCAAGUUAAGAUAUCUCUCUGGCACAAACUCAUCUGCAUCAGCCCAUGCAUUUGAGUCCCUAUUAACCGCGUAAAGGUUGACCACAAGCCUAGAAUCUUUAAGUAUUUUGUAACCAUUGAUCACACAAUCUUCCCUGCAUUUUCGAAAUACUAAGGGCAAUGAAGGAUGUAAUCUUAGAGUUUCCUUGACAACAGCUUGCAGAUAAGGAAGAUUUUGUAUAUCUGAAUCCUCAACCAGUCUGUUUUUCACCCCAACAAUUCUGUCAAUCUCUUGCUGCAGCUUCUUUAUUGCCUUUGGAUGGUUCAGCAGCUCCGCGAGCGCCCAUUGCAAAGCCACACUUGUUGUAUCAGUUCCUCCCAAGAACAGAUCCUGUUAAAUAAGGCCAAAAAGAAGGGGAAGUUACUACUUCACUGAAAGUCUGAUGAAAAUGGGGGCCCCUUACUUAAGAUUCAAUUCAUAAGGCUAACUUUAUGUUGUCAUGAGGCUUCGGGCGGACGACUAUUUAAGUUAAUUUCUAUAAAUAAAUAAAAGAACCAUCAACUGAACCUAGC